CGGUACUACCCCCCGAGGGCGCGGGCUACCCGCAGGGCUUCGCCCCCGCCGCGGGCUACCCGCCCCCCGGGGCCCCCGCCGCGCCCUACCCGACCUACCCCUCCGCCCCGAGCGCCCCGGACGCUAACGUGAUGCCGCCGUCGUACGAGCAAGCGGUUUGUGCGAAGCCCCCUCCCCACAACCCGUACGCGUCGCACUAGAGUCGCUGCCGUAUCGCUGCCGUAUCGCUACCGUAUCGCUACCGUAUCGCUACCUAUCGCGUCCGCGCCGACAUUUUGUAAUGUUUUAUGUUGAGUUACAACUGUACUAACUUGUACUGUUGUAAGUAAUGUAACGAUUAACUUGUACAUUGUUCCGAGGAUAUCUUGGUGCGUGGACUGCGGAUUACGACUAAACAUACUUUUAUGGAGAAAAUAAGGAGUUAUUGGUUUAAGAAGAUAUGUGUAUUUGUUGUUUCACUGCCUUGUACUUUUAGGUUUCAAUAUUCACACAGUAACAUUGUUAAUGAUAUCAACGUUCAUGAUAAAAAAGGUUUAUGUAUA